rnacentral:piRNA from 1 species
UAUUGAUAACCGUGUACUCGCUAGAAC